UUUCCGUAGGUGAACCUGCGGAAGGAUCAUUCAAUUUAGGUGUGUUAUGGCACUUUUUCAAUCCAUAGCCACCUUCUGUGCAACGUUGUCUUUUAAAGCGAAUGCCUUUGAUUAGCGCUACAGGAUGUAAGCAUCAACUCUUAUAUUUAACAACUGUGUCUGAAAACCUUUAUGAUUACUUAAUUCAAAUACAACUUUCAACAACGGAUCUCUUGGCUCUC
rnacentral:misc_RNA from 1 species